ACACAUGCAAGUCGAACGGCAGCACAGCAGAGCUUGCUCUGUGGGUGGCGAGUGGCGGACGGGUGAGUAAUGCAUCGGGAUCUACCUCAACGUGGGGGAUAACGUAGGGAAACUUACGCUAAUACCGCAUACGUCCUACGGGAGAAAGCAGGGGACCUUCGGGCCUUGCGCGGUGAGACGAACCGAUGUUCGAUUAGCUAGUUGGUGAGGUAAUGGCUCACCAAGGCGACGAUCGAUAGCUGGUCUGAGAGGAUGAUCAGCCACACUGGAACUGAGACACGGUCCAGACUCCUACGGGAGGCAGCAGUGGGGAAUAUUGGACAAUGGGCGCAAGCCUGAUCCAGCAAUGCCGCGUGUGUGAAGAAGGCCUUCGGGUUGUAAAGCACUUUUAUCAGGAACGAAAUACCACGGGUUAAUACCCUAUGGGGCUGACGGUACCUGAGGAAUAAGCACCGGCUAACUUCGUGCCAGCAGCCGCGGUAAUACGAAGGGUGCAAGCGUUAAUCGGAAUUACUGGGCGUAAAGGGUGCGUAGGCGGUUAGUUAAGUCUGUCGUGAAAUCCCCGGGCUCAACCUGGGAAUGGCGAUGGAUACUGGCUGGCUAGAGUGUGUCAGAGGAUGGUGGAAUUUCCGGUGUAGCGGUGAAAUGC
rnacentral:rRNA from 1 species